GUCUACAGCCAUGCUACCCUGAACAAGCCCGAUCCUGUCUGAUCUCAGAAGCUAAGCAGGGUCAGGCCUGGUUAGUACUUGUAUGGGAGACCACCUGGGAAGACCAGGUGCUGUAGGCU
rnacentral:rRNA from 1 species